rnacentral:lncRNA from 1 species
GCAGAAGUGUUAGAGUAUGUCCUCAGGAUUCUCUUUGGAGAGUAUACUAGUGUAGCAUGCAUCAAAAUAUCCAAAUUAAGUCAGGGAAAAUGUGAGUCUCACGUUACAUUUUUCCCUUCUGUCAAGAACAGCAGUCCUUCACUGGCUAUUAAAGGUUCACAUAGUCAUAGUUAUCAAUAAGUUAUUGUAAUUUGGUAGCUAUGUAACAACUUCCAAUAAAAAAUUAUUACCUGCAAACUUGAAUUCUGUUUAGAAAACACACUAAAAGAUAAAUAUUGUUGCUGGCAAUGUGGCUCAUGCCUGUAAUCUCCGCACUUUGGGAGGCCGAGGCGGGUAGAUCAAGAUGUCAGGAGUUAGAGACCAGCCGGGCCAACAUGGUGAAACCCUGUCUCUACUAAAAAUACAAAAAAAUUAGCCUGGCGUUUUGGUGCAUGCCUGUAAUC